rnacentral:snRNA from 1 species
CUAUGUACCUGCCGCCGGGACCAGGGUGAUCACGGAUGGCCUGGCCCCUGGUGAAGGCUCGCCCUUGCACUCUGGCGGGUUGAAGCCUGCGACUAUUCCUAAUUGGGCUCGCUCGGGCGCGUAUUUUUUGCCCGCAGGGACGUCUUCUGACCGUCCCUU